UUUUCAUUGGAUGGGCAGAUGAUUCCUUUUAGUUAGAUUGAGUAGGGAUAUGCAUCAGAAGUCUAACAGUAUGAAGAACUGCGUAUCGAAGUUAACUUUAGCAAGACAACGACGCUGAAUUUGGCUCCCGGUCCACCUUAAAUCGGUUGCGUUAUAUGAUUGGACGGUUUCGCGGUUUUCCUUACGUAUUUGCAAAGGUUAUAAUUUGCUUCUAGAAGAGAGAUACGGAUCAAGAGAGAUAUUGAACAAAGGUGGUAAUGAGAAUUUAAAAAUAUAUAUUUUUAAUUAUGUUACGUUCACUUCACAUGUCUUUUAAGACUGUACUAUGGACAUAUCAGUGUCACGCAUUUUGUUUUCUCCUCAAAAUCUAAUAGUCUCACCAUUGCAUCAGGUGUGUAUGAGAGAACAGGAAAUAAUGCACUUCUGAAAUGUUGUGGACGAAAAAUCACUGCACCAUAUUCAAAUAAAACUCCUAUAUAAACAAAUAUAUGAAUAAAAUCCUAUUGAAAAAUUGAUAUAUUAGAUGGCCAUUUCUCAUCAAAAUGUAUAAGUCUGAAAUUUGACAUUUAAUUAUGACAGAAGGGCUCCUGAAGUGGUCUACAUCCUACCCCAUUUCUGUGAAAUUUUACUAUUGCACUUUUUAAUAAUCCCACCUCAAACUUUCCAUGUAAUCCAAUAGACGCCAAUUGAAAAAUAUGAAAUAUGAAAAUUCUGACACUUAUUCCAGGCAGAAGGGGUCCUGGUCUACAACCUACCCCAUUUCUGUGAAAUUUUACCAUUGCAUUUUUUAAUAAUCCUUCUUCAAACGUUCCAUGUAAUCCAAUAGGAAGACCGCGAAACCGUCCAAUCAUAUAACGCAACCGAUUUAAGGUGGAGCAGAAAUUUCGAGCUGCGAAUCGGGAGCCAACUUCAGCGUCGUAGCCAGACAUGCGAAGCUAGCCAGCGUAGAAAAGAUGUCUGAUUUACUGGAGAGAGUUUAAAUUAAGGAAUUUUCAUGUAAUACUAUUACUAAUGGUUUUUAGUCAGAUGUCUCAGUAGCGAUUCCCAGCCGGAAAUGAGAUGUGCAAGUUUUUGCGUCCUGUUGGGUUCUGGAGCGAGGAUACAUCGCAUGAUAAGAUGAUGUCCGCACAUUGCAUAAUGCUCACGAGGAAAUAUGUCAUCCCAGCCCUCGCCGCCCCUUCCUGAUUUCCUCUAUAUUACUGCUGGAACUGCAGGAGAGAGGUUAUGUUGAGUAGGUUAUGGUUUGGCCAUACAGGACAAAAUUCAUCACUGAAAUUGAUUGGUAGACAUGAAAUCGGGUUACGUGAUGAGUGCUUAGUGGACGAAACGGUCGAGCAUGGGCUGAUGAUUUGUGAAUUAUAUAAUCUAGAUGGGUAGAGGUUGUUUGAGAGGGUCAGAGAAACUGGGCGGGGAUGGGGUAUAUGUGGGAUAUUAGGGGGAGGAAAGGGGAAAGAGGUGGUGGGUAAUGCUCUUAGUUUUCUCAGAGUAACAGGAUUAGUGCCUUUUCGUUUUGCUAUUAUUUGGCUAUAAUUAUGUAGGCUUCAGGAUUUUUGCUUAUAAUCAGCCAUGGUGCUGUGCCACGGAAAGAUCUAGAGCAUUACUGUAACAUGAAUCCCCAAAAUCAAAUGCAUUUAAAUGCGGUCACUGACAACACUCGAUACAAC